GUGAAUCAUCGAAUUUUUGAACGCAAAUUGCACUCCCUGGUAUUCCGGGGAGUAUGCCUGUUUGAGGGUCGUUAGAACAAAAAUCGAAGCGUCUCUCUUUUUUUUAAGGGUGAUCGCGUCUUGGAUGUGGCGUCUUUCAAAUGUUAAUUCAUUACAAAGUGGCUUUAAAUUCAUCCAUCCUGUACGAUUAAAGCUUACUGAAGAUCAAUUUUGAGUAAGAACGCGCGAUUAACUUACCAUCUCAGGUAGUACAUUUGAC
rnacentral:misc_RNA from 1 species